rnacentral:rRNA from 1 species
CCUACGGGCGGCAGCAGUGGGGAAUAUUGCACAAUGGGGGAAACCCUGAUGCAGCGACGCCGCGUGAGUGAAGAAGUAAUUCGUUACGUAAAGCUCUAUCAGCAGGGAAGAAAGACUGACCUUACGGUCAGCAGACGGUAACUGAGGAAGAAGCCCCGGCUAACUACGUGCCAGCAGCCGCGGUAAUACGUAGGGGGCAAGCGUUAUCCGGAUGUACUGGGUGGAAAGGGAGCGUAGACGUUGCGCCAAGUCUGGAGUGAAAUGCCGCCGCUUAACUGCGGAACUGCUUUGGAAACUGGCGAACUCGAGUGCGGGAGCGGUAAUCGGAAUUCCUCGUGUAGCGGU